AGUGAACGCUGGCGGUAGGCCUAACACAUGCAAGUUGAACGGCAGCACAGUAAGAGCUUGCUCUUACGGGUGGCGAGUGGCGGACGGGUGAGGAAUACAUCGGAAUCUACUUUUUCGUGGGGGAUAACGUAGGGAAACUUACGCUAAUACCGCAUACGACCUACGGGUGAAAGCAGGGGAUCUUCGGACCUUGCGCGAUUGAAUGAGCCGAUGUCGGAUUAGCUAGUUGGCGGGGUAAAGGCCCACCAAGGCGACGAUCCGUAGCUGGUCUGAGAGGAUGAUCAGCCACACUGGAACUGAGACACGGUCCAGACUCCUACGGGAGGCAGCGGGGGGGAAUAUGGGACAAGGGGCGCAAGCCUGAUCCAGCCAUACCGCGUGGGUGAAGAAGGCCUUCGGGUUGUAAAGCCCUUUUGUUGGGAAAGAAAAGCAGCAGGUUAAUACCCCGCUGUUCUGACGGUACCCAAAGAAUAAGCACCGGCUAACUUCGU
rnacentral:rRNA from 1 species